rnacentral:rRNA from 1 species
GCAGCAGCCACGGGAAUACGUAGGGCGCAAGCGUUGUCCGGAAUUAUUGGGCGUAAAGAGCUCGUAGGCGGUCUGUCGCGUCUGGUGUGAAAUCCCGAGGCUCAACCUCGGGCUUGCAUCGGGUACGGGCAGACUAGAGUGCGGUAGGGGAGACUGGAAUUCCUGGUGUAGCGGUGAAAUGCGCAGAUAUCAGGAGGAACACCGAUGGCGAAGGCAGGUCUCUGGGCAUUAACUGACGCUGAGGUACGAAAGCAUGGGGAGCAAACAGGAUUAGAUACCCCUGUAGUCCCUGUCUCUUAUAC